rnacentral:rRNA from 1 species
UGAAUACGAGAUGCUACGGCGUCGAAGCAGUGUAUGUCAGACUUCCAAGAAAAGCUCGCAAUGUCAUAAAUAAAGAAUGCCUGUACCAUAACCGACACAGGUGGGUAGGUAGAGUAUACUAAGGGGCGCGAGAUAACUCUCUCUAAGGAACUCGGCAAAAUAACUCCGUAACUUCGGGAGAAGGAGUGCCUUCUAUUAGAAGGUUGCAAUAACAAGAUCCAAGCAACUGUUUAUCAAAAACACAGGUCUCCGCUAAGUCGUAAGACGAUGUAUGGGGGCUGACGCCUGCCCAGUGCCAGAAGGCUAAAGAAGUUGGUUAGCCUUGGCGAAGCUGAUGACUGAAGCCCUGGUGAACGGCGGCCGUAACGAUAACGGUCCUAAGGUAGCGAAAUUCCUUGUCGGGUAAGUUCCGACCCGCACGAAAGGCGUAAUGAUUUGGAUACUGUCUCGGAGAGGGACUCGGUGAAAUAGACUUGUCUGUGAAGAUGCGGACUACCUGCACCAGGACAGAAAGACCCUAUGAAGCUUUACUGUAACUUGAAAUUGAAAUUGGACUUUAUUUGCGCAGCAUAGGUGGAAGGCGUUGAGAUUACUCUUGCGGGAGUACUGGAGCCAUCAGUGAGAUACCACUCCUAUAAUGUUAGAUUUCUAACUUUGGAUCAUGAUCUGGUCAAAGAACAGUUUCAGGCGGGCAGUUUGACUGGGGCGGUCGCCUCCCAAAUGGUAACGGAGGCGUACAAAGGUUUCCUCUGAACGGGUAGAAAUCGUAUCUAGAGUGUAAAGGCAUAAGGAAGCUUGACUGUGAGACCUACAAGUCGAGCAGGGACGAAAGUCGGUCUUAGUGAUCUGACGGUGCUGAGUGGAAAGGCCGUCACUCAACGGAUAAAAGUUACUCUAGGAUAACAGGCUGAUCUCCCCCAAGAGUUCACAUCGACGGGGAGGUUUGGCACCUCGAUGUUGUCUCAUCGCAUCCUGGGGCGGUAGUACGUCCCAAGGGUUGUGCUGUUCGCCCAUGAAAGCGGUACGCGAGCUGGGUUCAGAACGUCGUGAGACAGUUCGGUCCAUAUCCGGUGUAGGCGUUAGAAUAUUGAGAGGAGCCUUCUUUAGUACGAGAGGACCGAGAAGGACAUACCUCUGGUGUACCAGUUAUCGUGCCACCGGCAGUGCUGGGUAGCUAUGUAUGGAGAGGAUAACCGCUGAAAGCAUCUAAGUGGGAAGCCCACCUCAAGAUGAGUAUUCU